CCUAUAUGUGACCAAUAAUGCACUAAAUUCCAAAGCUCUGGAUUUAUUUUAGCUUCACUCAUUUUCUUUCCAAUUUAGCUUUGGCAUCUAUGCGUAUCAAUAUCAAGUAAUGAAGCAUGGGUUAUAUGAUCCCUUAAAGUAUUAGCUUCCCUCCUUGGGUACACGUGAAAAAACACAGGUGAAAGAGAAAAUUCAUCCGAUCCGACAGCCAGAAGUUCAAAGGGAAAGCCAUGGGAGUGAUCAGAGUCUCGGAACCCACAUCCCAUCCUCAAUCCAUGGCCUGAAAUUUACUGCUUCCAAAAACUUAAAAGAUUCGUGACGAUGUAAGCAAUUCCAUUUGCAAUUCGAAGCAGGGGCUUCUGUGCAUUGAAUUCCAAGAGAAGAAGCCACCGCAGUCACCACCUCCAUCAUCAUCAUCAUCACCAAAGCGAAGUUGAGGGACUGAACCGGUCGCGGGAGGCGAUUCUUCGUUUCGUUAAGGCAGUUGUGCUGAAGUUCAACGGCUCUGUUUCUCUUCGCCGCUGCUUGCCCUUAUUUAUUCUCCAAGUCGACGGUGAAACCUGUACAGAACACAUUGAUUGCUGUUUUCUUUCCUCUUGAUAUCUGCGAAAUAUAGCGUGUCUUUCAUACCAACCGAGUUCAGCAGCACUUGAUGCUCUAAUUGAUAUUACUGAUGGAAAAGUAUAUAUUCAUGUUCUCAUGGCUCUUGCUGCCUUUGCAUCAGUAUUUAUGGGGGACACCUUGGAAGGAGGCUGACUUCUUGCAAUGUUUAAUCUGGCUUAUAGUGGUAAACAUCUCAAGCUAAUUCAUCCAAGCACAGUUUCAUUUCAACAGAAGGGUAGAGAUUUUUGUCUUAUGUGCUUUGUAUACUGCGGAAGAGUAUUUCACCAGCCGCUCAUUGACUGAUGUCAAAGAAUUGAAGAAGAACCGUCCAGAUUUUUCUCUUGUACUGUUGACAAACCACCUCAUUUCUCAGAUUUGACAUACAAAAGAGUUGCUGUCCAUGACGUGGAAGUGGGUUCAUGCAAUCAUACAUGUUGAUCAGAGCUGGUGAGGUCUGUGUGUAAUGUUCUACUUUUUGAUAAUUGAUAGUUGAAGAUUUGAUCUGUUUCCAGUCUUUGUGAUGUUUGGUUUCAGCUAAAUUUGUGUAGCAUAAUCAAUCCCAUGUAAUAGACGUGUGAAUGAAGUCUAGCAGGUACGUGGCCUAACAGUUUGGCUGGAAACUUUAGAAAUUUUAGGAUUUCUUCACAAAGCUUAGUGUAAAAAAUGUGUUAUGGUAUCUAAAGGUGAGAUUCUCUCUUUUGAAUUAUUAGCCGUGUGCGAUUUUUUACACUAAA